AACGCUAGCUACAGGCUUAACACAUGCAAGUCGAGGGGAAACGAUAGAGAAAGCUUGCUUUUUCUAGGCGUCGACCGGCGCACGGGUGAGUAACGCGUAUCCAACCUGCCCAUCACUUGGGGAUAACCUUGCGAAAGUAAGACUAAUACCCAAUGACGUCUCUAGAAGACAUCUGAAAGAGAUUAAAGAUUCAUCGGUGAUGGAUGGGGAUGCGUCUGAUUAGCUUGUUGGCGGGGUAACGGCCCACCAAGGCGACGAUCAGUAGGGGUUCUGAGAGGAAGGUCCCCCACAUUGGAACUGAGACACGGUCCAAACUCCUACGGGAGGCAGCAGUGAGGAAUAUUGGUCAAUGGGCGAGAGCUUGAACCAGCCAAGUAGCGUGCAGGAUGACGGCCCUAUGGGUUGUAAACUGCUUUUAUAAGGGAAUAAAGUUAGCCUCGUGAGGCUUUUUGCAUGUACCUUAUGAAUAAGGACCGGCUAAUUCCGUGCCAGCAGCCGCGGUAAUACGGAAGGUCCGGGCGUUAUCCGGAUUUAUUGGGUUUAAAGGGAGCGUAGGCCGGAGAUUAAGCGUGUUGUGAAAUGUAGACGCUCAACGUCUGCACUGCAGCGCGAACUGGUUUCCUUGAGUACGCACAAAGUGGGCGGAAUUCGUGGUGUAGCGGUGAAAUGCUUAGAUAUCACGAAGAACUCCGAUUG
rnacentral:rRNA from 1 species